rnacentral:rRNA from 1 species
UACGAAGGGGGCUAGCGUUGUUCGGAAUCACUGGGCGUAAAGCGCACGUAGGCGGAUUUUUAAGUCAGGGGUGAAAUCCCGAGGCUCAACCUCGGAACUGCCUUUGAUACUGGGGAUCUGGAGUCCGGGAGAGGUGAGCGGAACUGCGAGUGUAGAGGUGAAAUUCGUAGAUAUUCGCAAGAACACCAGUGGCGAAGGCGGCUCACUGGCCCGGAACUGACGCUGAGGUGCGAAAGCGUGGGGAGCGAACAGG